AACGAAGCACAGAUGUAGAAUUUCUUCGGAAAGGAAGCGCCUGUGACUGAGUGGCGGACGGGUGAGUAACGCGUGGGCAACCUGCCCCAUACCGGGGGACAACAGCUGGAAACGGCUGCUAAUACCGCAUACGUUUUCGGUGCCGCAUGGCGCCGAAAAGAAAACUCCGGUGGUAUGGGAUGGGCCCGCGUCUGAUUAGCUAGUUGGGAGGGUAACGGCCUACCAAGGCGACGAUCAGUAGCCGGCCUGAGAGGGCGACCGGCCACAUUGGGACUGAGACACGGCCCAGACUCCUGCGGGAGGCAGCAGUGGGGAAUAUUGCACAAUGGGGGGAACCCUGAUGCAGCGACGCCGCGUGAGCGAAGAAGUACCUCGGUAUGUAAAGCUCUAUCAGCAGGGAAGAAAGUGACAGUACCUGACUAAGAAGCCCCGGCUAACUACGUGCCAGCAGCCGCGGUAAUACGUAGGGGGCAAGCGUUAUCCGGAUUCACUGGGCGUAAAGGGAGCGCAGGCGGCGCGGCAAGUCUGAUGUGAAAGCCCGGGGCUCAACCCCGGGUCUGCAUUG
rnacentral:rRNA from 1 species